AGUGAAGGAGGCUGUGGGCACCUCCCACAGUUUACUCCCUGUUCCAGCCACAAACACAGCUACAGAGGAAGGGAGAGUCAGAAAACAAUGCACUUGGGGAGGACAUCACCUGUCGAGCCUCCAGUUGAGCUGGGAGCCACAGAUCAGUUUGUUCUCAUAUGACUGAGCAGAUGGAGCUGAAGGAAAAUGGAGACUUUGAAUGGAAAGGGAUGCUGACUUGCUGAUAGAUGUUUUUUGUUCUUUGUGUUCAGGAAAAAGCUCCAAAAUGGUGGCUGACUGAUCUGCGUUUAGUAAACUUGUUAGUGUCAGAUGGAGGAUAUUUUUUGUUCCCCUCACUCUUGGAGUGCUUCCCAUCUGCUGACCACAACCACAGACAUGUGUGCAGCUCAGUCAUUUCCUAGCAUCCUUCCACCUGCACACACACACACACACACACACACACACACACACACACACACGUAGAGGCUGGAUUGCACAGUCGCUGACCACAAAACCAAAUUUAAGCUCAAGGCACAUUUCUCCUCCUUUGAGCAGUCUGUCAAUUUGUUGAUAUGAUUAAUACUCCUUUUUCUUGUCACAGGCAUUGAAACAUGUUUGCAAUUUUCCCCAUGCGGUGAUGUGUUUGUUUAUGCUCCAUGUCACUGCAGCUGGCGAGGGAACCCGGUCAGUCGGACCCAGCUGCGCUCCCACGGGAGUGCUCGGAGCAGAAAUACUAAUCAGGAUUAAUUAAUUUCCACUGCUCCUUGCAAGUCAUCCAAUCGGUCUGUUUUGUGUUAUCCACCCUUUGUAGCUGCAUGCAACAUGUUGCCUAAGUGGUUACUCACACACGGUGCAAUGAAUGGACAGAGAGGCAAGAGUCACAGUAUGAUGUGGAGUCAUUUGGGUUGCUAUAUUUGAGUUUCUGUUUUUGCCAAAGCAUUUCUAUAGUGUUUCUUGAGGUCACUUGUCAUUCAGCCCCUUUCCCUCUCUUGGAUCUCGUUCCAGUUUGGGCAUAUGGUUGCAUUUACUAAAAGAGCACUCAUAAAAGCAGAGCUUAGUAAAACAAAAUUGCUCAUCGUGGGGUUUUUUAAGUAUUCUUCUACAAAAGAGCCUAUUGCAACCACAAGUGAGGCGAUGUUGUAAUACAUAUGAUAAUAUCCAACCCCCAUCUCAAUUUGGAGGAGAUGGGGGACCAUUUUAGUUGAUUCACUUCCUACACAGGCAGUCAGAUAUCAUUAGUUUUACCCUGCAAUGGUUCCCACUGAUUUAUUUUCCCACUAAGGGCCCUAAAACUUCCCCUUAUGCAGUAUACACCUCCCUGUCACUGAAUAGCGUUCGGUGCAUCUUUUAGAAACAGAUGUCAUGUAUUUUUACCAAUAUAACACACUGCAAGACUGAUAAAACCAAUGUUGGGUUAUACACACAGCUGUCUCUCUGCGUACAGCUAAACCUGAUGCAGUCGAAUGCAACAAACCUGCAAUUAAACCUGAAGGUUGUAAGGCAUUGAGUCAAUGUAUGGUCAUUUUGGAGGCUGCAGUUUAUGGUGUUGUUGAAUUAUAAUAAACUGGUAAUAAACAAG